rnacentral:tRNA from 1 species
GGGGAUGUAGCUCAGUUGGGAGAGCACCUGCCUUGCACGCAGGUGGUCGCAGGUUCGAUUCCUGUCAUCUCCACCA